CUCGGAUAGCUGAGGCUGCAACAACUGGCAUUUCCUGGGCAGCCCUCUCCUUGACCUCUUUGUGGGUUUUCUACAGAGUCUCAUCCGCAUGGUAGCCGAACUCCUCACACAGCAGUAAAGGGGGAGAGAGGGAGAACACCAGACAGGAACGGAAUUGCCUCUUUGGACCUAGCCUCAGAAGUCACACAGCAUCAGUGCCACUGCUUUCUUUUGGUCCAGGCUCUUAAGGAGCAGGGAGGCCUGAACAGACUUAUCUUUCCACAUCUCUGGAUAGGAAGACUCGAUGUUGCAAAGAUAUGAAAUUACUCGAUAAACUCCAUACAAUCCCAAUCAAAAUCAAUGCAGUUUUCAUGAAACUUGACAAACUCAUUCUAAAGAGAUUCUGGGAGAAAGGCAGCAUGAAAAUAGCCAAGAAAUCUUGA